UGGGGAAUAUUGCACAAUGGGCGCAAGCCUGAUGCAGCCAUGCCGCGUGUAUGAAGAAGGCCUUCGGGUUGUAAAGUACUUUCAGCGGGGAGGAAGGGAGUAAAGUUAAUACCUUUGCUCAUUGACGUUACCCGCAGAAGAAGCACCGGCUAACUCCGUGCCAGCAGCCGCGGUAAUACGGAGGGUGCAAGCGUUAAUCGGAAUUACUGGGCGUAAAGCGCACGCAGGCGGUUUGUUAAGUCAGAUGUGAAAUCCCCGGGCUCAACCUGGGAACUGCAUCUGAUACUGGCAAGCUUGAGUCUCGGAGAGGGGGGUAGAAUUCCAGGUGUAGCGGUGAAAUGCGUAGAGAUCUGGAGGAAUACCGGUGGCGAAGGCGGCCCCCUGGACGAAGACUGACGCUCAGGUGCGAAAGCGUGGGGAGCAAACAGG
rnacentral:rRNA from 2 species